AACGAACGCUGGCGGCAGGCCUAACACAUGCAAGUCGAGGGAGAAACCACUUCGGUGGCGGAAACCGGUGCACGGGUGCGUAACACGUGGGAAUCUACACCGAGGUAUGGAACAACGCAUGGAAACGUGUGCUAAUACCAUAUAAUGGCUCCGGCCCAAAGCUCCGGCGCCUCGGGAUGAGCCCGCGCCUGAUUAGGUAGAUGGUAGGGUAAUGGCCUACCAUGCCUACGAUCAGUAGCUGGUCUGAGAGGAUGAUCAGCCACACUGGUACUGAGACACGGACCAGACUCCUACGGGAGGCAGCAGUGAGGAAUAUUGCGCAAUGGAGGAAACUCUGACGCAGCCAUGCCGCGUGAGUGAAGAAGGCCUUAGGGUUGUAAAACUCUUUCAGUGGUGAAGAUAAUGACGGUAACCACAGAAGAAGCUCCGGCUAACUUCG
rnacentral:rRNA from 1 species